GAAUCCGACUCGAGCGGUAUGAGGAUCUAAAGAAAACCCUAGCGGCGGCGAUUGGUGUGGCGGGAAGGCGGCCAUGUCCCCCAAACGGAGGAAAUCGGUGGCGGCCUCGAGCGGCGGUCCCAAAUCGUCGCCGGCGGCGAGGUCGACUCGGUCCAAAUCGAAGCCGGAUUCCGAUCUCGCCGAGCACGACGACAGUCCCAGAUCGUCGUCCGGGAGGCUGACUCGCUCCAGAGCGAAGGUGUUGGAGGAGUCGGCGGGAGUGUCUUCGAGCAAGAAGAAGAGAAGGAUCGAGGAGGAGUCGCCGGCGGCGACGACGACGACUUCGACGACGGCGACGACGGGUGUGAUGCACAGGGAGGGGCAUGGCACCUUGGCGUCCCGGCCACUCCCGCCGAUCCACCCGCCGACGACACCCCGCGUCAGAAAAAGCUCCCGCAUCGUCCGGCUCGAAGUUGAUCGACUUCAGAAGCUAACUCUCUGGCGCGAUAAGAAAGAUGAUCCCUCCACCGCGGCCGCCUUGCCUACCCCCUCCGACAAGAACAUGGUGUUGGGCAUGUCUCGCUCAAUUGUCCGCGUUUCAUCCCCACCUUCUGAGGGAAAAUUGAUCUCUCCGCGCACCGGAUUCGUCGUCAGUUGGGAUGGAGCCACCAAGCGUGCUAUGAUCGUCACGCUCUCCACUUACUUCAAAAAGAAGCCGCAUGAGCCCCAACCCGAGCUGCAGGUUCAUCUUGCAGAUAAGUCUAUUGUGCAGGGACGGUUGAUAUUCAUGAAUCGCCACUACAAUCUCUCCAUCUUGGAGAUCACGUCUGACCUACCAUUGCAGGUCCCUGCUUUUGGGUCCGCCCCAAAGUAUGGCCAGAAAAUUCUUGCCUUGUCUCGGGAUGAAAAUAUGUCCCUGGUGGCGAGGCGUGGAGCAAUCACGUGGUCGGAUGGUUCUUUCAUGUGGAGAAACCAUUACAUGUUUGUGGAUUGUGAUGUUCCUGAGGGUGGUGUUGGAGGGCCUGUAGUUGACAGUUGUGGUAGUACCAUUGCUAUGGUAUACAGAGCCGGCCCUGGUGCAAUUAUCAUUUCAAUCUCAAUUAUUUGCACCUUCUUUGAGAUGUGGAAGCAAUUCAGCUGUGUUGCCCGCCCUGUGUUUGACGUGGAUUUAAGAAGUGUGGAACUAGCUGGUGUGUCACUCCGGGAGGAGCUCUCUGUGAAACAUAACAUCAAUGGUGGCUUUAUUGUUAAACGCAUAGCUGAUGAUUCUGCUCUUGAGCAUCUCGGUGUUAGACGGGGUGACGUGAUCUUUUUUGAGAACGAGUGCGGGACUAGUUUGCCUGAGAUCGAAGGUUAUCUCCUUUCUCUUGGUUGGAGAUACCUGCAGGGGAUGAAAAAGUCGAUGGUUCUCAAGAACUGUCUUCCUUGUGUAGUUGGAAGUACAUGACAUUGAAGGUCCAUGUGAGGAGACAAUUACCUUACCCUUAAAGUUUUCUGUCGAUUCAGGAAAGGUUGUCCGCUGGAGGAUGGCUUGAAGAUGUACAGCAAGACUAGUUAGAGCAAGGUCAAUAGUAUAGCCCACCGCUGACGGUACCAAAUGCCACGUCAUUUUACAGUUAGUGUAAAGCUAACUAAUACAAUAGAUUGGCUAUUGUGCUAACUACAUAGAAGCUAUUAAACAAUUAAUUUUGGAUACACAGUACGAUCAAGAAUGUACUCCAUCUUUGUAGCCAUUUGUGCUGUCAUGAGCGUGAGUAGUCUACCGAUGAAGAAAAAGAAAGAGUUUGGUUUUUGCUUUC